rnacentral:rRNA from 1 species
GUGAGGAAUUUUCCGCAAUGGGCGAAAGCCUGACGGAGCAAUGCCGCGUGAAGGAUGAAAGCCUAUGGGUUGUAAACUUCUUUUCUCAGAAAAGAAUUAUGACGGUAUCUGAGGAAUAAGCAUCGGCUAACUCUGUGCCAGCAGCCGCGGUAAGACAGAGGAUGCAAGCGUUAUCCGGAAUGAUUGGGCGUAAAGCGUCUGUAGGUUGUUUAAAAAGUAUUCUGUCAAAGAUUAGGGCUUAACCCUAGAUAGGCAGAAUAAACUUUUAAGCUAGAGUUUGGUAGAGGCAGAGGGAAUUCCCGGUGGAGCGGUGAAAUGCGUAGAUAUCGGGAGGAACACCAAAGGCGAAGGCACUCUGCUGGGCCAAUACUAACACUGAGAGACGAAAGCGAGGGGAGCAAAUGGGAUUAGAUACCCGUGUAGUCC